AUGAAAGCAGGUCUCCUUGAACAGUUGUCACUUUGGAGAUUUGUGCUUCUUCAUUAUGUUAUAUUUAGAUAAAGUCACGUAUUGUGCUUCUGUUCUGGUUAAAAAUCACAUGCAGAUCAAGUAUGACCUUAAAUCUGUUCUGAUCGUCGGGUUACACCUUGAAUUCCGGUAACACUUUCACUUUUGACUCCGAAUUAUGUCAUUUUGUCCUCAUAAUUCAGACUUUUUAUCCAUUCUGGUGUUCACUUUUCUAGUCUGCAGAAGCUUAUUGCUGCCAACAUGACAUGACAAAAAAUAUUUGCUCAGCUUCUUGUUAUUUCAUGGAGUUUUUUUAAUGUACAAGAUAUUUUUAAUUAUUAUGGGAAAUUUUGGUCAUGUCAAUUUAUUCAGUUUUAACAGACGUUUUGUUACAACAGAACAUCACCUUUUUAAUCAGAGUAUCUCAUCAAACAAGAAAAUCUCUGCCGUUGCCGUUAUGAGAAACUUGGACGAGACAAAGUUCCAAAUGAGAAAAUGGAUGAGCAGAGCGGAUUUUGCGUGACUCAACGGGUGGCAGCAGUGGGCCUCAGUAGGUGUCCGACUUCAUCCUCAAACCUGUGACUUUUCACGUCUUUCUGGCUUUUUGCUUUGCAUCGUUUCCUGAUGUUUAUGCUGGGCCACAGAGUUCAGAGUCUUCAUCACCCGCCUUCGCCCCCCGAGUCCGUUUCAUCCUCCUGCUGAUCACGUCAUUUUGUUCUUGUCCUGCUGACCGUGGAGAAAACUUGGGCUGCCGAUAGACUACAAAGAACAAACAGCAAUAUUUUUAUUCCCUGAAUCUCAGGAAGCCUCUGACAUCAGUCUGAUGUACAGAAACUGUGGACUGUCUGAGCGGAUGCUGAUCGGUACUUUCGACCUGGUGGUUUUGAGGCCUUGGCGUGGGCGUGGGCGUGGGCGUGGCGUUCGUUAAGUGUUUGCGAAUCGGAUGUGAAGCUGCAUGUGUUUUUACUGCUUCUCAAAUCACUCAUCUCGGUCAGGAUGUCGGACUCACCCUCUCACUGUGUGGCUUUUGGAUUUUGUCCACAUUCUUCUCGUUUCACAUGUGGAUAAAAAAGUUAAAUGAUGGAUGCAAUCUUUAAAAUUUGAUGCACUAUUGUAUCCUGUGUUUUUUGAUAAACAUGUUAUGCUUCUUUUUAAAUAGUAGAUUGUUUUUCAUAGGUAAGAGUACACUGGCUGCGCACUAUUUUCCUAUAGAGUCCGUUUGUCUCGGAUGUCAGUGUGUGUGUGUGUUCAGAGUGCGGACUGAAGCUGCUGCUGUGCCGCCUCACCACCAGGUGGCAGCAGCAGCCUGAUGAACUUCCUGCUCACCUGAAGCUGCACAGUUCACCUGUUUUCACUUCUACUGCUUUGAUUUUUACAGUGUUGGAUUAAUUCUG